rnacentral:tRNA from 2 species
AAAAAGGUAAGCUAAUUUAAGCUCAUGGGUUCAUACCCCAUUAAUGAAGGUCUGCCCCUUCCCUUCUUA